UGAGGAAUAUUGGUCAAUGGGCGAGAGCCUGAACCAGCCAAGUAGCGUGCAGGAUGACGGCCCUAUGGGUUGUAAACUGCUUUUAUAAGGGAAUAAAGUUGUCUCGUGAGACUUUUUGCAUGUACCUUAUGAAUAAGGACCGGCUAAUUCCGUGCCAGCAGCCGCGGUAAUACGGAAGGUCCGGGCGUUAUCCGGAUUUAUUGGGUUUAAAGGGAGCGUAGGCCGGAGAUUAAGCGUGUUGUGAAAUGUAGGCGCUCAACGUCUGCACUGCAGCGCGAACUGGUUUCCUUGAGUACGCACAAAGUGGGCGGAAUUCGUGGUGUAGCGGUGAAAUGCUUAGAUAUCACGAAGAACUCCGAUUGCGAAGGCAGCUCA
rnacentral:rRNA from 1 species